GCCUUUCUGGUGUAACGGUCAUCACGCUCGACGAGUAUUCGAGAGGUCCGUGGUUCGAUUCUCGGUGAGGGCA
rnacentral:tRNA from 1 species